rnacentral:misc_RNA from 1 species
CAAUACCUUUCUCAGAUAGAUAUUAAUAAAAUGUCUAAUUUAUUACUGGACAAAUAAACUUUAUUUUUUAACAAAAAACUAGUAAUAAACUUAAAAAUCUGAAAAACAAUUUCGACAAUUAUAUGUAGGAAUGAUCUAGCUAGAGACUUGCCAUUAGAAAAUCUAAAGAUACAAUGUAACAAGUCUCAGUUAUUUUUUCCUCCAGUAAUGACCCGUCAUUGAACAAGCAUUAGUAGCGUUUCUAACCGGUAAGAGAUCGUUAAAAACAUUAUUUUCAUGCCAAGAGCAGUAUACUUAAUAGCGGUGUAUCAAUUGCUUGUACGAGUCCUUGUUCUUUGAGUUGUAUUCAAUCUCCGCCUUGCGAACACCUUUUAUAGCAAUCAUAAGCUUUUUCCCAAUUAGAUCCUCCAAGACAUCGUCUUUCUCCAGAGCUUCUAGAGACUCAGAAAGGGAUUUGGGCAAUCUUUUUAGUUUUGCAUCUAGAUAAGAAGGAUUGGUAUCAACAGGUUCAGGCAGAGAAAGAUGCCUUCUAAGGCCAUCAAUGCCCGCUGCAAGUAUAGCCGCCAAUCCCAAGUAUGGAUUUGCACAUCCAUCGAAAGAUUUAAUUUCAAAGUUGCUAACAAGACCAUCUUUUAUCCCAGGUGGGCAAGCAGUUCUUAUUGGAGCUUCCCUGUUUUCUUUUCCCCAGCACUGGUAUGCUCCACUCCAUGUGUUGGGUUGUAUUCUAUCAUAGCUAUUUGGAACUGGUGCUGUGAAGGCCAAAAUUGAAGGGAGAUGAUUUAGAACUCCUGCCAUGAACUCCUCCCCAACAGUUGAAAUUCCAUGCCUAUAGGAACUACCAGAUGCCAUAAAAACAUUUUCUCCACUCUGCCACAAGCUGAUAUGAACAUGGGAUCCAGAACCAAUGUCAUCCAGCGCAUACUUUGGUACAAAAGUUGCCAAUAGUCCAUGUUUCCUUGCAAUAGCCCUAAUAACCUCUCUGGCAAAAACGAGGUUGUCAGCGGAGCAUGUACAUGCUGUGUGCCCCAAGGCCACUUCAAACUGGCCUUUCCCAGCUUCUGCAUGUAACUGCUCCACGGUAAUAUUUAACAAUUGAAGAGCAGCAACAACUUCAUGAAAUAUGGGGGCAGCAGAGUCAUAUCCUGAUGCAGAGCAAUAGGGUGCUGAGUCAAUUGGCAACCAUUCUUCCUUCCCUUCCCUGCAAACACAUAUGGCUUUCGUUAUAUUUGUCAUUGCCCAAUUUAAGGCUUGAAGGACAUUAGGUGCAUACUUUGCCACACUCUUUAAGAGCACAAACUCAUUUUCAAAUCCUGCAUUCAUUACCAAGUUAAAUUCAUCUUUUAGAACUUUUGAAACCCUUCGUAAGGCCUCCCUUGGGCAAUACUCCCAUGCUUCACCAGGUCUAAGAUGCAUGUCAGCCAAAACCAUCUCCUCUACUUCCAUCCUAUUGUAAAAGAUAUGGCAUCAAUUCAAUUAGGUGGACUUACAAACAUAUAUAGACAUCAUAAAAUAGACAACAAAUUAACAAAAACUGAACAUUCUAAUGCAAGUGAACCAAUAACAACCAAUGAAGGAUCUAUGAAGGUUAAUUGCACAUGUAGAAUGUAGAUAACAGCUAACUAGGGAUAAUGGCAAUGUUGUAGGUGCAGGGUAACCCUCGCUCAAAAUUUUCCAUUUUUAUUUUUCCUACUCUUUUAGCUGCUCUCCUUUCGAUCAAUGAAUCAAAAUGAAAAACAAAAUGCUAGGCCCACAAAAGCAAAAGCCCUUUCCUGACUACAAAAAAUACCUGGCAAGUCCUUAUUUGACAUACACUCCUGGCUUCAAAGGAAUGGAACACAAUAUCUUGAGAUAUCUCCUUUUUCCUUACAAAGAAGUUACAGUACAAACACAACAGCCAGCAAAGGCUAUUUUUUUCUUCGAUAAGCAUUUGGUUUUGACAUUUAGCCAGAUUGUAAUUUGGGAAGAAUAAAGCUUCCUUGAUACUCCAUGGGAUUCUCCUUUUAGUUGUUAAAUCAGGCAUCAGCCUGAUCUCACCCACUCCAGUCAGAUUAGUCUCAUCUGCUGGACCAUCAACAGAUGAAGUCAUUGCCAUACUUGCAAAAGUCAAACCAAUACCAUUCUUCUUCACAACAUCAUUGAAGCGUUUUACAGGAACAACACGGCAUCUGUGUUGUCCCGAUGCAUCAACCCAGAGAAUACGAACAAGUGAAACACCAUUGUCUGAAGCACUAUUCUCAAUGUUCACAGAGUUAGCAGAUACAAUAUCCUUUGAGUUAAACACUUUUGCACCUAUAUUAAUCUUGUAUAACUUAAUUGCAUUUCGUGCUAGGAUGUCUUUAGCUGCUUCAGUAGCUUCAUCAACUGUGACGUCACCAUCACAGCAUGCAUCACGUAGCACAGAAAAAAUGAUUUCGCGUGUUUUUUUUGCACCUAAGUAAUAUGUUUCAGGAAAUGCAUAGCCAUCAGUGCUGAACAUAACCUUAUUCAUUGGAGCUAGCUCCAAAAGUUCUUUGAGUGAAGAUAUCAUCCCGUGGACACUAAGUUUAGGAACUGCCAAGCCAAAAUCAAGGUACACCUGGGGAUAAACUGAGGCCAGAUAUGAUGCUUCCUUUGAAAAUGGAUAUGAUGCAUGCAAAAGAACAAUAUGACACUUGGAAAAUCUCUCAUCCUCAAGAAGCAUUCGAAGAUGAAGGGGAUUAGAUAACCUUAGAUCCAAAUCUUUAUCUCCAAAACUAAAUGUGAGAGGAAAGAGUAAAGCAAAAAAAUAAAUUUAAAAAGAUUAGGAAUACUGAGAAGACACAGAUAAAUGAAUGCUCUCUAUGGUAGCUAAAUGUAGGACAAAGAAAGGUAACUUGGAUCUUAAGAACUUGUCAGGAAAUUCUCAGAGGCAGACCAACUUGAGGCUGGUCCUCCUAUCGCUGAUAUUAGUGCCAAAUGUUGAAAUUGUUCAACUUCAAACAAUUUAAGCACAGUUUCAGUUCACUUGAGCACACUUUCAGUUCACUUGAGCACACUUUCAUGAAUGAAAUCCGUAGCAGACAUUAAAAAGUUAAAUCCAAUUAGCUUCAGCAGAGAUGACAGCAUCUUCAAUCAGCCGUGGAGACACCUUAAGUCCAAGUUUCCAAUUCCUUUUCCCACACCUUCCAGCCAUUAAUCAGGGCAUAAAGUGAAUUUUAACAAUUCCAAAAUUUAAUUGUACCCUGUGUGUAUCUGCAUUGGCAAGUCAAACUGUAGAGCAACCUCCAAACUAUGUGUGAAAAUAUAGUCGAUAAAGCUUUUAUUCGUUAUGCGAACAGGCUUGCCAGCACAUAAAACUUCAGCAAGACCUUCCUCAGCAUCUUUUGUAGUGACAUUUGUAUUGAUUUCUAGGCCACUACGGUAUGCAGCUACGCUUUUCAAGCCAACUAUUUUAUCAGCAAAUGACCUCAAGUUCUCCAUAAAGGUUUCAGUGAACGUAUCCAAUGUCCAAGUUGAUCCAUCUAGCAACUCUUUAUCCAGAAUUGAUUCAGCCAAGCGUUCAAUUCUCAGUAUUCGACCAACAAAUGGAGUGAAAUUCUUAUGCCACUCAAUAUCAUGCAUCUUAUCCAACUUCAAUCCAUCAUCAAUGAGAAUUGCAGAGAUUCUUGCAGCUUUAAAGCAUUUAACCAUAAUGGAUCCCAGACCUGAAGAUCUGCGAUGCUCUUCAACAACUUGCAAGGAAUUCUCGCAGCCAUAUAAUUCCGCUACUUCCCUCAAAUUCCUCUUGAAGGAGAGAGAGUGAGGAGCGAAGGACAAAGCAUCGCCGGCAGCUUCAGAGAAGCUAUUGAUGAAAGGGAAGGAGGAAUCGAGGGCAACGAUGUUGUGAGCAUGAGCGUCGACCAGCAUCACCUCCUCUAUCGCCUGUCUGAGCUCUUCAAAAUCCAUUUUCACAGCUCUAUAAACUUCAGCUUUCACUCAAACACAGACUCUGCGGAUGGAUGGUUCAGUCUUUGGAGAUGAAGUUAUGACAUGCGAGAUUGGUUUGGCCAAAGCAGAAAGCGUCAAAGUCUGUGCGCGUCCGUAGUAUAGCAUUUUUGGAAAGCACAGAGACUAUUUAUCACUGCAUACCGAUAAUAACAAAAUCUGACACUGUGCGGGAUGAAGUAAUAAAUGAAGGUGCUAGACCCAUUUUCUGCGGGAGAG